CCUACGGGGGGCAGCAGUGGGGAAUAUUGGACAAUGGGGGCAACCCUGAUCCAGCCAUGCCGCGUGUGUGAAGAAGGCCCUCGGGUUGUAAAGCACUUUCAGUGAGGAAGAACGCCUGGUGGUUAAUACCCAUCAGGAAAGACAUCACUCACAGAAGAAGCACCGGCUAACUCCGUGCCAGCAGCCGCGGUAAUACGGAGGGUGCGAGCGUUAAUCGGAAUUACUGGGCGUAAAGCGCGCGUAGGUGGCUUGAUAAGCCGGUUGUGAAAGCCCCGGGCUCAACCUGGGAACGGCAUCCGGAACUGUCAAGCUAGAGUGCAGGAGAGGAAGGUAGAAUUCCCGGUGUAGCGGUGAAAUGCGUAGAGAUCGGGAGGAAUACCAGUGGCGAAGGCGGCCUUCUGGACUGACACUGACACUGAGGUGCGAAAGCGUGGGUAGCAAACAGGAUUAGAUACCCAAGUAGUA
rnacentral:rRNA from 1 species